rnacentral:tRNA from 1 species
GCUCAAAUAGCUUAUAAAGAGCGCUACUUUGAAGCAGUAGAAGAGAUUGAUAUUGAUCUUUGAGUA